AAAAAAAACACCUUAGACACAACUGGGUAAUCCCUAAAUCCUGGACUGGUAGGUGUGCCUUGAGGACUGGGUUGGGAAACACUGCUCUGAGCAACUGUUUGCCUCUUGAGUUCAUUGCAAAUAAUCUAACUUAAACCAGGAAAUAACAGGACCUGACUUUCAGCUAGGUAAAGUGCUUUGGCGGACUUGAGUGUCCCUUUAAUGCUGUUUAUUUUAUUUACUAAACACCAAAUUUUAUUGAAAUAGAAAUUGAGUUGCAAACUCUAGGCACAGGUGCUGAUUUGGAAAAACAAAUCUCCUUUAAUUCAAUGAAUCUCUGCGGGGUGUGUUCAGCAACUCCAUGCACAGCAUAGAGCUGAUGAAGGUAGGUUCUGCAAAGAUUACUGAGCUGAAAAUACAGUAGAGCCUCUAGUGUUUAUCAGAGUGAUGGUUCCUAGAAAUGUUACUAUGAAACAAUGUAAACGCUGCCUGUUUUCUAAAAACGCAUCGGAAAUGUUAUAAAUGUCAGGGACUGACUGGACAGCAGAACAUUAAAGGAGCACUAUAGGGUCAGGAACACAAACAUGUAUUCCUGACCCUAUAGGGUUAAAACCACCAUCUAGCCACCCUGGUCCCCUCAUGCCUCUAAAAAUAUAGUAAAAUCUUACUUGAAUUCAAGCUUGCAGCUGCAUAGUUUGUCCCUGUUUCUUUUAGACCUACUCACUGCCAGCUGACAUCAGCAGAAGUGGUGGCCUGAUCCAAUCACAAUGCUUCCCCAUAGGAUUGGCUGAGACUGACAAGGAGGCAGAUCAGGGGCAGAGCCAGCAUGAUUCAAACAGACCUGGCCAAUCAGCAUCUCCUCCUAGAGAUGAAUUGAAUCAAUGAAUCUCUAGGAGGAAAGUUCAGUGUCUGCAUACAGAGGGAGUAGACACUGAAUGUUUGGAUGCAUUUUAGGCAGCCAUGACCCAGGAAGGAUCUCUAACAGCCAUCUGAGGAGUGGCCAGUGAAGUUAUCACUAGGCUGUAAUGUAAACACUGCAUUUUCUCUGAAAAUACAGUGUUUCUGGCAAAAAGCCUGAAGGUAAUGAUUCUACUCACCAGAACAAAUUCAAUAAGCUGCUGUAGUUCUGGUGACUAUAGUGUACAUUUAAGCUAGUGAUUUUGGUGACUACAGUGUUCUUUUAAUUUGUUACAAAAAAUAACUUUGUAUACGUUUAGUUUAUGAUCCGUGAAUGGUAGACAAAGUAACAUCAAUGUGCAACGCUGUAAAUCUAAAUCAGGAAAAAAGAAACGCUGUAUGUAUGAUGUAACAAUGUGUUAUAGCACAUUCUAAACACCUUUUAAAAUUAACUAGAUGUUUUGUAUAUCUGUAAAAAUGUUCUCAGAACUGUGAUCGUUUUCCCAUUAAAACUGUCACUUGUAGAGUACAUAAUAUUAGCUGUAUUUUAUUUAUAUAGUGAUAGAAUAGUUAAUGGGUAAUUCAGCCUCUGGAAAUCUUUGCUCCAUUAUUUCUAUGAUGUGCAUUUACUUACAGGAAAAACACUUUUUUUAUAAUGUGGACAUAAAAAUUAGUGAGUUAUUCUGGUUGCUUUUUUUAUAAUUAGUUGUUUUUGUACCCAGGAGACCCCAAGAAAGAACUAAAACCAUUAAAAACUGUUUGACUACUUUCAUUGAGGCGAUGCUAGGACACUCCUGGCAGCAUAACUACUACAGCAUGCUGUAGUAGUUAUGGUACUAUGAGUGUUCCCUUAAUCUAUAUAAUAAAGUUGUAAGUAAUGCACCUAAACAACUGAAACCAUGUAUUUAACUACAAUGUCCACUAGAUGGUGCAACAACACUUACUUUGCACUGCAAAAUGUUCUAAAUCACACAUCAGAUUUCUGUGUACAGAAAGAAAAAUCUAUAAAUAUAUAAGCACCACAUCAAAUGAUGGACCAGAAAUACAAGAAUACAAGUUUGUCUAUCACCAUAUGAGGCAGUGCUAGCUAAAUAAAUUGAUCAAUGUAGUAAAAAAUAGAAAAAUGCAAAGGUCCACUGUAUUAUGAGUAGACAAAAGAAAGUUAAACUGUAGAUUUGCAAAACUAUUGGAAAGACACAAACAUUACAGUCGAGCUCUCAAUGAGCAAUCAUUUGGUCCCAGAGAUUAUAUUUGUCUAACCUAUGAGUAACAUGCAGUUCCCUGUUUAAAUGUAUGCAGAACUGUAGCUUUUACAAGAUGUUUUUUAUAUAUCUGCAAUAAAAAAAAA